rnacentral:rRNA from 1 species
CCUACGGGAGGCAGCAGUGAGGAAUAUUGGUCAAUGGACGAGAGUCUGAACCAGCCAAGUAGCGUGAAGGAUGACUGCCCUAUGGGUUGUAAACUUCUUUUAUAAAGGAAUAAAACGAGGCACGUGUGCCUUUUUGCAUUUACUUUAUGAAUAAGGAUCGGCUAACUCUGUGCCAGCAGCCGCGGUAAUACGGAGGAUCCGAGCGUUAUCCGGAUUUAUUGGGUUUAAAGGGAGCGUAGAUGGGUUGUUAAGUCAGUUGUGAAAGUGUGCGGCUCAACCGGAAAAUUGCAAUUGAUACUGGCAGUCUAGAGUACAGUUGAGGUAGGCGGAAUUCGUGGUGUAGCGGUGAAAUGCUUAGAUAUCACGAAGAACCCCGAUUGCGAAGGCAGCUUACUAAACUGUGACUGACAUUGAUGCUCGAAAGUGUGGGUAUCAAACAGGAUUAGAUACCCGGGUAGUC